UUCAGAUUUAUUUGGAGAAAACAAAAAACUACAACCCAAAGGAUGGGAUUUUACAUCUCAAGACAUCUCACAGAAUGUCUCUCUGGCUUCCUCUCCCUCUCAGAGACCCAAAUUGGAACUGAAACCCUGAGUACAGCAAAACUGCAUUUCCCAAGCUCCUCGUCUCUCAAUGGGUCACAUGACUUGUUCUAGCCAAUAGAACAAGGGUGGAAGUAAUGCAACCACUUUCAGCUGGCCCCUAAAGUCUCCUGUGAGAUCUUCCAAUCUUGCUCUCCUCUCUCUGCAUGGCUGGAAGUGCAUACUCUGAUAUCUGAAACCACAUGAUGAAGGAGCCAGGACGCCUAAGUUCACCACUU
rnacentral:lncRNA from 1 species